rnacentral:lncRNA from 1 species
GAUUCAAGUUUGUCAAUAUCCCGUCAAAUUUCAAGCAAUAUGAACACACUUUCUCCCGCAAUUACAUAGUUUGUUGUGGAUUUGGCGAUGUAGGAAAAACCGAAUCUGUGAACAUGACGUCGUCACCAAAAGGUCAGAUUUUUGUUCUUUUAGUCAUUUAUUACCAGACCUACUGAACCAUCCAGAUAUUUUUACUUUAGAAUGACAGAAAAUUUCAAGAAAUUGGUAGAUAUGACAGGAGUUUCUGUCAAGAAAAUGAACACAAAUUACAGGCGUUCAUUUGGAGUUGAAGAAAGAUUUGCCACAUUUUUUGUUGCUCAAAAUCUGUGCCACUUUGCUUGUAACUACUGUACUGCCUCAGUGAAACACUCCUUAUAGAAAUUGAAGCUGGUAAAAUCAAAGCUUCACAGUCUUUACAGGAAGGAAAGGCUGUCUUUCUUCAUGCCUCUGGCGACAGAGAAGGACGUCUCCAUCAAUCAUAAUGAAGUCAUCAACAGAGGCAGAUACUUAUGUGAAAGAAUGUGAAAUAUUCUGCUAAGAAUUGCCGGCACUUCUAACAUGGAAAGUGGAUUUCUCCCCUACAAACGCUGUUUGUCGCUGAGUAGCCGACCCCGCGAAU